rnacentral:rRNA from 1 species
UACGAAGGGUGCAAGCGUUACUCGGAAUUACUGGGCGUAAAGCGCACGUAGGCGGCUUUGUAAGUUAGAGGUGAAAGCCCGGGGCUCAACUCCGGAAUUGCCUUUAAGACUGCAUCGCUAGAAUUGUGGAGAGGUAAGUGGAAUUCCGAGUGUAGAGGUGAAAUUCGUAGAUAUUCGGAAGAACACCAGUGGCGAAGGCGACUUACUGGACACAUAUUGACGCUGAGGUGCGAAAGCGUGGGGGAGCAAACAGG